UUGUCAGAACAUCGUUCAUUA
rnacentral:piRNA from 1 species